rnacentral:rRNA from 1 species
GACGAACGCUGGCGGCGUGCUUAACACAUGCAAGUCGAACGGAAAGGCCCUGCUUUUGUGGGGUGCUCGAGUGGCGAACGGGUGAGUAACACGUGAGUAACCUGCCCUUGACUUUGUGAUAACUUCAGGAAACUGGGGCUAAUACCGGAUAGGAGCUCCUGCUGCAUGGUGGGGGUUGGAAAGUUUCGGCGGUUGGGGAUGGACUCGCGGCUUAUCAGCUUGUUGGUGGGGUAGUGGCUUACCAAGGCUUUGACGGGUAGCCGGCCUGAGAGGGUGACCGGCCACAUUGGGACUGAGAUACGGCCCAGACUCCUACGGGAGGCAGCAGUGGGGAAUAUUGCACAAUGGGCGGAAGCCUGAUGCAGAAACGCCGCGUGCGGGAUGACGGCCUUCGGGUUGUAAAACGCUUUCGCAUGUGACGAAGCGUGAGUGACGGUAAUGGGUAAAGAAGCACCGGCUAACUACGUG